rnacentral:rRNA from 1 species
GACAGAGGAUGCAAACGUUGCUCGGAUUUACUGGGCGUAAAGCGCGCGCAGGCGGUUCUGUAAGUCGGACGUGAAAGCCCGGGGCUCAACCUCGGAAGUGCGUCUGAUACUGCAGGACUGGAGUACUGGAGAGGAGAGCGUAAUUCCCGGUGCAGAGGUGAAAUUCGUAGAUAUCGGGAGGAACACCAGUGGCGAAGGCGGCUCUCUGGACAGAUACUGACGCUGAGGCGCGAAAGCGUGGGAAGCAAACAGG